rnacentral:rRNA from 1 species
GCCUACCAUGGUGGUAACGGGUAACGGGGUGUUAGGGCACGACACCGGAGAGGGAGCCUGAGAAACGGCUACCACAUCCAAGGAAGGCAGCAGGCGCGCAAAUUACCCAAUCCCGACAUGGGGAGGUAGUGACAAUAAAUAACAAUACAGGGUUCUUUUGGAUCUUGUAAUUGGAAUGAGUACAAUUUAAAUCUCUUAACGAGGAACAAUUGGAGGGCAAGUCUGGUGCCAGCAGCCGCGGUAAUUCCAGCUCCAAUAGCGUAUAUUAAAGUUGUUGCAGUUAAAAAGCUCGUAGUUGAAUUUCGGGAUCAAGGGAUUGGUCAUGCCUCGGUAUGCACUGGUCUUAUUGGUUCUCACCUUCUAAAGAACCAUGAUGUCAUUCAUUUGAUGUUAUGGGGAAUUAGGACUGUUACCUUGAAAAAAUUAGAGUGUUUAAAGCAAGCUUACGCUUGAAUACAUUAGCAUGGAAUAAUGAAAUAGGACAUCAGAUUCUAUUUUGUUGGUUUCUAGGAUCGAUGUAAUGAUUAAUAGGGAUAGUUGGGGGCAUUAGUAUUCAAUUGUCAGAGGUGAAAUUCUUGGAUUUAUUGAAGACUAACUACUGCGAAAGCAUUUGCCAAGGAUGUUUUCAUUAAUCAAGAACGAAAGUUAGGGGAUCGAAGACGAUCAGAUACCGUCGUA